rnacentral:rRNA from 1 species
UACAGAGGUCUCAAGCGUUGUUCGGAUUCAUUGGGCGUAAAGGGUGCGUAGGCGGCGCGGUAAGUCGGGUGUGAAAUCUCGGGGCUUAACUCCGAAACUGCAUUCGAUACUGCCGUGCUUGAGGACUGGAGAGGAGACUGGAAUUCUCGGUGUAGCGGUGAAAUGCGCAGAUAUCAGGAGGAACACCGGUGGCGAAGGCGGUUCUCUGGGCAUUACCUGACGCUGAGGAGCGAAAGUGUGGGGAGCGAACAGG